CUAAAUGAAGAGAAUGAAAUAUUGCACACCCUUUGAUUUUUGGCUGGUGUUAUGAUAUGGCCACAAAUCACUGACCUACCCUUUUCUCUUUAUUCAACUUUUGUAAUCAAGGCCAGCCAUGGUUUCAAUAAAGAAAUAGCUUCCUGAAGGAGAGCUCAGAUUUAAGAUUGAGAAUUUACGUUUGUUGAUGAUCAAGCUGCUGCAGUCCCACCUAAAAAUACUUUUUAUGCUUAUGCAUUGUCGAUCCACUCCUACUAAGAGCUGGUUAGGAUAAGCUAACAUGGUCGAAGAGGACGAGGAAGAAAUCAUGGGUGUAAAUAAAAUAUGAAACAGACAUGUAAAUUUGAAAUUAAUUACCAAAUAAUAUGAGCAAUUUCAUGCUAGAAAAAUCAGAAUCUUUUGUCUCGUAGUUAAUAAUUAUUUUUACUUAAUUAGCAUUGUAAAAAGGAGAGAAAGAAAUAAAUAGGCACUACAUUAUUUUGAUCCUAUAUUUA